AAAGAUUGCAGUCCGGUGCUUCUAAAGUGUCUAAAGUCCUGGGGGAGGCAGGAGGAGGCUGAGGGAGGCUGAGGGAGGUUGGGGGAGUUUGGAGGAGGUGGACCACCCUCCUCUGAUUAGAGGAAGUCUCCACUCUGUGUCAGCACUGGACUCACAGGGAGCCAGAGGUCAUUCAUAAAACCUUACAGUAACUGGGAGUCCUCCUGCAGCAGAUGAGUGGGAGGAGCUGACGGCUGGGAGGCGUUUCCUGCUCCAACAAGCCUCCACCUCCCUACAUGGCCGUGGGACUCGCGUGCUUUGCGUGCAGAGGGCGCGGACGCAGCAGAUCUGAUCAGCAGACUCUCCGGGCCUCCUGCUGAAGUGUCUUUGAGCCAGACGCUGAACCUGUGCCAGGUACGUGAUCCCCUCCACCCAUCACAUGAUCCCCUCCACCCAUCACACCAUCCCCUCCACCCAUCACAUGAUCCCCUCCACCCAUCACAUGAUCCCCUCCACCCAUCACACCAUCCCCUCCACCCAUCACAUGAUCCCCUCCACCCAUCACACCAUCCCCUCCACCCAUCACAUGAUGAGUAACAGCAGUUUGGUCGUGUGACAUGUGUUUGGUUUCUCUUUCAGUCUCUCCAGCUUUCACUGUGAAACUAAACACUUUCAGCACUUGAACUCAGCCAUAAAACCUCCCGUGUUUAAUUCAAACGUCACUUUAGACACUUGGCUGUUGCUUUUCUUCUUCUUUUGUGCUUUGAUCUGGCCGGGGGGGUUAGUUAAUAUGUAACUGAAGCUGAUGUUGGUGGUUAGCGAGCCACUAUCAGGACUUAUUUUCACUGACUUUUGUAUGAAAACUGGAUUUGUGGUUCUGUAAGGUUCUGUUGGGUCACGCUGUGUCCUCAAGUAAUAACAAAAUUAGUUACAGGAUGUUCCUGCUUUCUUGAUCCAUAAUGAGGAAUUUCCUGCAGAUACCCGUCAGCCUGUCUUUAGAGUCUCAGUCCUUUUUCUCUCUUUUAGGGAAAAGUGUCUAAGUUUUGACCUUAAGUUUUCCCUUUAAACGUUAGCUUAGCAUUCCUUAUUUUCAUGGGAGAUUUGACGAAAGAGGCAAACAAUCCGAAAAUCUUCAGACCAACAACAAAGUCAGAAUGCCGUCUGAUCAUAAACAAAUUAAAUCUUUUAACCCUGUAAAUGCAGUUUAUAGCAGGUUCUUAGAGUUUAAACUGACUAAGCUAAAACUAAACUAAACAAACCAAACGCAACUUUUCCAACUUUCAGACAGACAAACUCUCCGUAUCCACCUUCAGGCCUUCGAUACGAGUGUUAUCUUUUAUUUUAUCAGAUAUAUUUCUUUUUUUAAUCAUCUUGGAGGAUCAAAACAGUAAUUAUUUUAAAAAUCAAACUACAUAAAAUGUUUAGAUCUUUAAAUAAAUGGACCCUGAUUAGCUGUACAGAAACACGACUUUAUCGCUUGUACAAAAUAACUAUAUAAAAUAACCCGACUCCACCCAGCAGACUCUGACCUGCUAAGAGGGUCGUCACAGAUACAUUUUACAGUUUUUGACACCAAACUGGGGUUCGGGGUGGCAACGACUGCCCCCGGCCGCCACUAUGGCCCUUUUCAGACUCUGUGCUUAAAGAGGAUGAGGGUAGAAAGCAGGGAAGGGUUUGAGAAAGCCGGCAUAGAUUAAAGAGGGACGAGAGUCCGAUCCUCAAGGUUGGAGAUAUAGUACUAUACGUCACACUCGUGAGACCUUGAGUCCUAGUUCUAGUUGCUAUGAUUGUGCAUCUCUUUCAACUUUAAAUCAUCUUUGGAAGCAAAAACUCCAACUGCGAUCCUCAAAAAAAGAGUCUUUAUGGAGCAGUUC
rnacentral:lncRNA from 15 species